AGGAUUAACGCUGGCGGCGUGCCUAACACAUGCAAGUCGAACGAGGUAGCAAUACCUAGUGGCAGACGGGUGAGUAGCGCGUGGUCAACCUACCGUUGAGUGGGGGAUAACUAGCCGAAAGGUUAGCUAAUACCGCAUACGUCUCCGAGGGGCAUCCCUUGGCGAUAAAAGGAGCAAUCCGCUCGAUGACGGGACCGCGUCCCAUUAGCUAGUUGGUGGGGUAACGGCCUACCAAGGCAUCGAUGGGUAGCUGGUUUGAGAGAGCGACCAGCCACACUGGGACUGAGAUACGGCCCAGACUCCUACGGGAGGCAGCAGUGAGGAAUUUUCCGCAAUGGGCGAAAGCCUGACGGAGCGACGCCGCGUGUGGGAAGAAGGCCUUCGGGUCGUAAACCACUGUCGAAGGGGAAGAUAAUGACGGUACCCUUGGAGGAAGCCCGGCUAACUACGUGCCAGCAGCCGC
rnacentral:rRNA from 1 species